rnacentral:sRNA from 1 species
UUUUUACUAUCUAGGAAGGGCUGAACUUUAUUUUUUAUGACAUGUUGACAGAUGAUUCUAGAGAAAAAUUACCUGAUCAUUUCUUGGAAGAUUACUGGGUGUGAAUGAAGUCUUGGGAAUUAUGAUUCAGAAAGAAUUAGGAAGAAUGAAUGUGUAUAGCCUGUUGUCAUUGCACCUCCUCUAGCGUCCUGGCUCUCCAGCCCUCUGUUAACUCAUCCCACCCUCAUGUCCGCCAGCAUGGCGAGCGCUCUUGGAUCUCAGUUCGGGGCAGCAUCAUAGCCCUCUAAGGCCUGUGUGUAUGUCCGAGCAUUGCCUGUCCCUGAAUUCAUCUCCAUUCGCCUUGUUUCCGUCUGGAGCAGCAGUAUUCUCUUUCUGUUCCCUGCCAUGUCCGUCCAGAGUGACAGAAAGGCAGGCUUUGUAUAGUGAAGCAGUGAUCACUUUGUGCACAGAAGCCCUGUGUAUCUUGAACCUUCUCGCAUGGGCCUUUACUUGUAGUGCAUGAAGAACGACUCACCCAUGACAGGCAAGGCAGGAGGCAGCACGCUGUGGCCCUAAGUGUAGGAGCGACUGCCUCAGCAGUGACGUGCUAGUGAAUAGCAAGAGUCCUCUCCCAAGAGGUCCCAGGCCUUGCCUCUGCUAUGGAUGUCAGUGGUGGGACUCCAUUUUACAGAAAAUCAUUAAUGUGCACGCAACAAGUUUAAUUAAGGUCAUGUGGCCAGCGAAUUAGCCAAGCGAGGGCCUGAACAUUGCUAGCCCGUGGCUACUCAGCAGUACAGAUUUCAUAGUCAGGCCUUAGGAGAUAGCAUAACCAAGUGAAUAGUCACUGAGUACAGUACUUAUUAUCAGGCAGAAAGUAAGCCUAGGACAGGACCUUGGGACUUGGUUACAUUGCUCCCACCCACAGGAAGCUCCGGCAUCAGUUCUGAUUGUACUUUCCAUGUGACCUCCUAAACUGAAUGUGCCAUUGGUGCCACCUCCCUCUUGCUGAUUCAGCAUUUCUUCAUUUUGACUCCCUAAAAACAAUUGGUUCUGUAAAACAUGUGACUCUCAAAAAAAUAGAGAGGACAAUUGGCCCUACUGCGCACUUGGAUCAGAACGUUAGCCAGAGCGAGUGCCUGUGGAGGGAGUGCUGAGACCGAGGUCCGGGAUAACAUCCAAGGCAAGCGACUGCAGACAGUUGGACUGUUGCUGAUAUGUGUUCAAGAUGAGUGGGAUGGGAGAAAAUACCUCUGACCCGUCCAGGGCAGAGACCAGAAAACGCAAGGAAUGUCCGGACCAGCUCGGACCCAGCCCCAAAAGGAGCACGGAGAAACGUAACCGCGAGCAGGAAAAUAAGUACAUAGAGGAACUCGCAGAGCUGAUCUUUGCAAACUUUAAUGAUAUCGACAACUUCAACUUCAAACCUGACAAAUGUGCCAUCUUAAAAGAAACUGUGAAACAGAUCCGCCAGAUCAAAGAGCAAG